UGGGGAAUCUUGGACAAUGGGGGCAACCCUGAUCCAGCCAUGCCGCGUGAGUGAUGAAGGCCUUAGGGUCGUAAAGCUCUUUCGCCUGUGAAGAUAAUGACGGUAGCAGGUAAAGAAACCCCGGCUAACUCCGUGCCAGCAGCCGCGGUAAUACGGAGGGGGUUAGCGUUGUUCGGAAUUACUGGGCGUAAAGAGUUCGUAGGCGGACUAGCAAGUUAGAGGUGAAAUCCCAGGGCUCAACCUUGGAACUGCCUUUAAAACUGCUAGUCUAGAGACCGGAAGAGGUUAGGGGAAUACCUAGUGUAGAGGUGAAAUUCGUAGAUAUUAGGUGGAACACCAGUGGCGAAGGCGCCUAACUGGUCCGGUACUGACGCUGAGGAACGAAAGCGUGGGGAGCAAA
rnacentral:rRNA from 1 species